rnacentral:rRNA from 1 species
AUGUCGAUCAUCGACGACCAAAGAAGCAACGCCAACAUCUCCGACGUGAAGUACAGCUACAACGACACUAUGCUGGAGGAGGCCAGGAAACAUCACCAGAAGAUCAGCAAUGGGAAGAAGAUGAUAGGGUCAGACUCUUUCCCAGAUUUCAACUCUAGUAACGGUGACGCUGAGUUUAGUUUCCAGGCGCUAGACAUCAGGGGGCAGGCCUACCCAGUCACAAUUGGGUUACGGAUGGUCGCCGACAAUAUUCUGGCCGACGACGAUGCCUCCUCCCGGCGUUGGGUGGUCUUCGGGAGCACGCCCACCACCGCCGCGGCCCGGCGUGCGGUGGUUGACGACAUGAAGGAGGACCUGCUGAAUGUCAGCUAUGUCAUACGCUACUCCGCUCCAGGUGACAAGAUCAGGGUGCGUCCUAGCAAUGCGGCCCACUACUCAAACUAUAGCGUUGAGAAAAGAAAGAUCUUGGCAGAGGGCAUUUAUGACCGGAAGAGGGGCAUCCUGUGCAUGGUCGGCUGCCAAGAGCGCACCGGCUCGACGGAUUGUCAGACACUGGUAACGGUGCAGUUCGCUUCCCUUGGUUCCAAGGUGCCGGAGCACGGAAGUGGGGCGAUCAGCAGCCUCAGAGACAAGACCGAUCGCCUCUUCUUUGCGAAGAUCAACUUCACCAUGCACGGGAUGUACUCCGCGCAAGUGGCCAACGCCAUAUCGAGGAUGGACAUGGAAAGCGUCAUGCUUGUGGCCUCGACGACGCUCUCGUGUGUCUUCACCAUCCUGCAGAUCCUUCACACCAAGAGGAACCCGGAGGCGGCUCCGGCAACAUCGGUGACCAUGCUCGCCGUCCUCACCAUGGAGUUCCUCGCCCCUCUCGUGCUCAACUCGGAGGCCCUGUUCGCAAGCAGGAGGAGCCAGUACCAUGAGCUGCACCCCACGAGCCGGAGGAUCGAGAUGAACGAGGUCAUGAUGAGGGCGCCUACACUGAUCGCCUUCGUGUUGCAGCUGCGCCUUCUCCAGCUCGCGUGGUCCGGCCGACGCACAUCCACCAUGUCCGAGCGGACCGUGUUAUGGAUAUGCCUGCCGUUGUACGCCCUCGGAGGAAUCGUGGCCGCGGUCGUCCACGUGAUCAACGCCCGCGCCUCCACGAUCGGCAUGGCCGGAUGGCGGGUGACGAUCUGGCAGGACCUUGUGUCGUACGCGGGGCUGAUACUGGAUGGCUUCCUUCUCCCGCAGGUCAUCCUAAACGCGUCCUUGGGAGCGUCCAGAGCUCGGGCGAUCUCGCCGUGGUUUUACAUGGGGGGCACCAUGCUCCGCUUGAUGCCUCAUGCGUAUGAUGUAGUCAGGGCCCAGAUCUACAAGCCGAGCAUGCGCUCUUCCAAAUUGUACGCGAGCCCCCACGACGAUCUGUUCGGCGCCGCUUGGGACAUGGUUAUACCGUGCGGGGUGGCGUUGCUGGCCUUGUUGUUGUUCUUGCAGCAGCGACUUCCAGGCACCGAGUCACUUCCUUCGCAGAGGAGCAGAUCGAGUGGAUAUCAGAUGGUGUCUAACAUUUAA